GAACGGGUGAGUAAUAUAUCGGAACGUGCCCUGGAGUGGGGGAUAACUAGUCGAAAGAUUAGCUAAUACCGCAUACGAUCUACGGAUGAAAGUGGGGGAUUCGCAAGAACCUCAUGCUCCUGGAGCGGCCGAUAUCUGAUUAGCUAGUUGGUGAGGUAAAGGCUCACCAAGGCAUCGAUCAGUAGCUGGUCUGAGAGGACGACCAGCCACACUGGAACUGAGACACGGUCCAGACUCCUACGGGAGGCAGCAGUGGGGAAUUUUGGACAAUGGGCGCAAGCCUGAUCCAGCAAUGCCGCGUGAGUGAAGAAGGCCUUCGGGUUGCAAAGCUCUUUUGUCAGGGAAGAAACGGUGGUUUCUAAUACAGAUCACUAAUGACGGUACCUGAAGAAUAAGCACCGGCUAACUACGUGCCAGCAGCCGCGGUAAUACGUAGGGUGCAAGCGUUAAUCGGAAUUACUGGGCGUAAAGCGUGCGCAGGCGGUUUUGUAAGUCUGUCGUGAAAUCCCCGGGCUCAACCUGGGAAUGGCGAUGGAGACUGCAAGGCUAGAGUUUGGCAGAGGGGGGUAGAAUUCCACGUGUAGCAGUGAAAUGCGUAGAUAUUGUUGGAGGGAACACCGA
rnacentral:rRNA from 1 species